rnacentral:rRNA from 1 species
AGUGAACGCUGGCGGCAGGCCUAACACAUGCAAGUCGAGCGGAUGAAGGGAGCUUGCUCCUGGAUUCAGCGGCGGACGGGUGAGUAAUGCCUAGGAAUCUCCCUGGUAGUGGUGUAUAACGUCCGGAAACGGGCGCUAAUACCGCAUACGUCCUGACGGAGAACGGGUGAGAUCUGCGGACCUCCCGCUAUCAGAUGAUCCUAGGUCGGAUUAGCUAGUUGGUGGGGUAAAGGCCUACCAAGGCGACGAUCCGUAACUGGUCUGAGAGGAUGAUCAGUCACACUGGAACUGAGACACGGUCCAGACUCCUACGGGAGGCAGCAGUGGGGAAUAUUGGACAAUGGGCGCAAGCCUGAUCCAGCCAUGCCGCGUGUGUGAAGAAGGUCUUCGGAUUGUAAAGCACUUUUAGUUGGGAGGAAGGGCAGUAAGUUAAUACCUUGCUGUUUUGUCGGUACCAAAAGAAUAAGCACCGGCUAACUUCGUG